rnacentral:rRNA from 1 species
CCUACGGGAGGCAGCAGUGAGGAAUAUUGGUCAAUGGACGCAAGUCUGAACCAGCCAUGCCGCGUGCAGGAAGACGGCUCUAUGAGUUGUAAACUGCUUUUGUACGAGAGUAAACGGAGGUACGCGUACCUGUCUGCCAGUACUGUACGAAUAAGGAUCGGCUAACUCCGUGCCAGCAGCCGCGGGAAUACGGAGGAUUCAAGCGUUAUCCGGAUUUAUUGGGUUUAAAGGGUGCGUAGGUGGUCGGGUAAGUCAGAGGUGAAGUCCUGGGGCUCAACCGCGGAAUUGCAUGUGAUACUGUGCGGCUAGAGAGUAGUUGCGGUAGGCGGAA